GAUGAACGCUGGCGGCGUGCCUAAUACAUGCAAGUCGAGCGAACAGACGAGGAGCUUGCUCCUCUGACGUUAGCGGCGGACGGGUGAGUAACACGUGGAUAACCUACCUAUAAGACUGGGAUAACUUCGGGAAACCGGAGCUAAUACCGGAUAAUAUAUUGAACCGCAUGGUUCAAUAGUGAAAGGCGGUUUUGCUGUCACUUAUAGAUGGAUCCGCGCCGCAUUAGCUAGUUGGUAAGGUAACGGCUUACCAAGGCAACGAUGCGUAGCCGACCUGAGAGGGUGAUCGGCCACACUGGAACUGAGACACGGUCCAGACUCCUACGGGAGGCAGCAGUAGGGAAUCUUCCGCAAUGGGCGAAAGCCUGACGGAGCAACGCCGCGUGAGUGAUGAAGGUCUUCGGAUCGUAAAACGCUGUUAUUAGGGAAGAACAAAUGUGUAAGUAACUAUGCACGUCUUGACGGUACCUAAUCAGAAAGCCACGGCUAACUACGU
rnacentral:rRNA from 1 species